AUACCCCACGGCUCUUCAUGAUAAGGUCAUGUGUUCCAGUUUGAAUCCAGCUCACGCUGAUGUCGGGAGUAUUGUUAGUCUAGAGCUCUGACUACAACAAGAACCGUCAUCAUGACGACAUUAAACUUGCCGUAACCGGCCGAGGAUUUUCCGAAACUGACAGAAAGUCGUUCUCACCGCCAUCUUCGAUUUCGAAAUUGGCAGCAUACUUCAUCCACUUUCUUGCUGAGAACGACACAGCCAAUCAUCAUCUACUCAGUGCUGACGGCUGUAUUGGGCACGAAGACUGUUCUGAACACCAUUCUUGAAAAUGCCAACAAGGUGCUUGUGAGGGAUGCUGAAGAACAGAUCACGUUAGGCUUGCAGGAGGAUGUGGCACCAUCUUUGCAGCCCACAGUACAACACAGCCCACAGUACAACACAGUCAGCCUGUGACAUAUGUGAAGAAACACCAUCCCAAAAUCGUUGUUACGCCAUCCACAUCAACAGUUAAAUGUAACCAAACUGUCCUGCAAAGUGAAAUGCACAGUACCUCUAAGAAGCUUAACCAUCAUGGACCUCCACUUGGCCAUGUAUAUGUAGAACUUUGACCUUCUUCUGCCAAGCACAUUUCCACAUCUAGACUCCAUCCAUUUUUUAAGAAGGGCUGUGUUCAAGUUAACAAAUCUCUGACCAAACCAUCACCAGUGUGCCCUAAAUCGAACCUGACCUUGAAACAACAGAAACACUAUGAUGAGAAAACAAAGAAGGAUCCAUCAUUGCCACCGUGUUUGAAGGCUGCUGAACAAACCUGCUUCAGACAUCAUCAGGAUUCUUUCUACAAGAAGUCAUCUGUGUACAGUCAGACAUAUGUACUUAAAGGUCUGCCUGAUGAAGAAGGUGACUACAGGAGCUGUGCCAUAAAAUCAUGACAACAUUUUUUCUCCCAAAGACAUCUUUAUUGACAGAUAGUAUUCACAUGUACUAUAUGGGUCAU